rnacentral:rRNA from 1 species
GACGAACGCUGGCGGCGUGCCUAAUACAUGCAAGUCGAACGCUGAGGGUUGGUACUUGUGGGAUGUGGGUGAGGAGCGAGGGUGAGAAUCACGCGAGUGGACUCUGCCUUUGAGCGGGGUAAAAUCUGGGGAAACGGGUGCUAAUAGGGCAUGAAAACUUGCAACACGGGGGUGAAGGGUAAGAGAUGGAAGUGCGUGACUGAAAGAUGAUCCCGCGUCGUAUUAGCUAGGUGGUGGGGUAAAGGGGCACCAAGGCGAUGAUACAUAGCAGACGUGAGAGGGUGGUCGGCCACACUGGGACGGAGACCCGGCACAAACGCCUACGGGAGGCAGCAGUAGGGAAUCGUCGGCAAGGGACGAAAGUCUGACCGAGCAACGCCGCGGGAGUGAAGAAGGAUUUCGGAUCGUAAAACUCUGUCGGUAGAGAAGAACGUGCGUGAGAGUGGAAAGCUCAUCAAGUGACGGUAACUAGCAAGAAAGCGACGGCUAACUACGUG